GACGAAGAACGCAGCGAACUGCGAUAAGUAAUGUGAAUUGCAGAAUUCAGUGAAUCAUCGAGUCUUUGAACGCACAUUGCGCCCCCUGGCAUUCCGGGGGGCAUGCCUGUCCGAGCGUCAUUGCUGCCCUUCAAGCCCGGCUUGUGUGUUGGGUCGUCGUCCCCCCCGGGGGACGGGCCCGAAAGGCAGCGGCGGCACCGCGUCCGGUCCUCGAGCGUAUGGGGCUUUGUCACCCGCUCGAUUAGGGCCGGCCGGGCGCCAGCCGGCGUCUCCAACCUUCUAUUUUACCAGGUUGACCUCGGAUCAGGUAGGGAUACCCGCUGAACUUAAGCAUAUCAAUAAGCGGAGGA
rnacentral:misc_RNA from 1 species